GAUGAACGCUAGCGGAGGCUUAACACAUGCAAGGUCGAGGGGUAAAUGGUAGCAAUACUAUGAGACCGGCGGACGGGUGCGUAACGCGUAUGCAACAUACCUUGUGCAGGGGGAUAGCCCGUGGAAACGCGGAUUAAUAUUCCAUAGUCCAGCUAUAUCGCAUGGUAUAGUUGGUAAAGAUUUAUCGGCACAAGUUUGGCAUGCGUCUGAUUAGCUUGUUGGUAGGGUAACGGCCUACCAAGGCUACGAUCAGUAGGGGUUCUGAGAGGAUUAACCCCCACACUGGUACUGAGACACGGACCAGACUCCUACGGGAGGCAGCAGUGAGGAAUAUUGGUCAAUGGGCGGAAGCCUGAACCAGCCAUCCCGCGUGCAGGAAGACAGUUCUAUGGAUUGUAAACUGCUUUUCUUGGGGAAGAAUAAUGACGACGUGUCGUCAGAUGACGGUACCCGAGGAAUAAGCAUCGGCUAACUCCGUG
rnacentral:rRNA from 1 species